rnacentral:rRNA from 1 species
UACGUAGGGGGCUAGCGUUGUCCGGAAUCAUUGGGCGUAAAGCGCGUGUAGGCGGUCCGGUAAGUCCGCUGUGAAAGUCGGGGGCUCAACCCUCGAAUGCCGGUGGAUACUGUCGGACUAGAGUCCGGAAGAGGAGAGUGGAAUUCCUGGUGUAGCGGUGAAAUGCGCAGAUAUCAGGAAGAACACCGGUGGCGAAGGCGG